rnacentral:misc_RNA from 1 species
AACAUUGUUACAUGUUUGCGUUGGGGAAACGAUGUGUGACACCCAGGCAGGCGUGCCCUCGGCCUAAUGGCUUCGGGCGCAACUUGCGUUCAAAGACUCGAUGGUUCACGGGAUUCUGCAAUUCACACCAAGUAUCGCAUUUCGCUGCGUUCUUCAUCGAUGCUCGUCUGACCAG